AACGAACGCUGGCGGCAUGCCUAACACAUGCAAGUCGAACGGGAUCCUAGCUUGCUAGGUGAGAGUGGCGGACGGGUGAGUAACACGUGGGAAUCUGCCUUUUGGUUCGGGAUAACCGCGGGAAACUGCGGCUAAUACCGAAUGCCCUCGAGAGAGGAAAGAUUUAUCGCCAGAAGAGGAGCCCGCGUCCGAUUAGGUAGUUGGUGGGGUAAAGGCCUACCAAGCCGACGAUCGGUAGCUGGUCUGAGAGGAUGAUCAGCCACACUGGGACUGAGAUACGGCCCAGACUCCUACGGGAGGCAGCAGUGGGAAUAUUGGACAAUGGGGGCAACCCUGAUCCAGCAAUGCCGCGUGAGUGAUGAAGGCCUUAGGGUUGUAAAGCUCUUUUGCCAGGGAAGAUGAUGACUGUACCUGGAGAAUAAGCUCCGGCUAACUCCGUGCCAGCAGCCGCGGUAAU
rnacentral:rRNA from 1 species